rnacentral:rRNA from 1 species
CACUCCUACGGGAGGCAGCAGUGGGGAAUAUUGGACAAUGGGCGCAAGCCUGAUCCAGCCAUGCCGCGUGAGUGAUGAAGGCCCUAGGGUUGUAAAGCUCUUUCACCGGUGAAGAUAAUGACGGUAACCGGAGAAGAAGCCCCGGCUAACUUCGUGCCAGCAGCCGCGGUAAUACGAAGGGGGCUAGCGUUGUUCGGAUUUACUGGGCGUAAAGCGCACGUAGGCGGACUAUUAAGUCAGGGGUGAAAUCCCGGGGCUCAACCCCGGAACUGCCUUUGAUACUGGUAGUCUUGAGUUCGAGAGAGGUGAGUGGAAUUCCGAGUGUAGAGGUGAAAUUCGUAGAUAUUCGGAGGAACACCAGUGGCGAAGGCGGCUCACUGGCUCGAUACUGACGCUGAGGUGCGAAAGCGUGGGGAGCAAACAGGAUUAGAAACCCGAGUAGUCCC